rnacentral:rRNA from 2 species
UGCAGUCGAACGAUGAUGCCCAGCUUGCUGGGUGGAUUAGUGGCGAACGGGUGAGUAACACGUGAGUAACCUGCCCCUGACUCUGGGAUAAGCGUUGGAAACGACGUCUAAUACUGGAUAUGAUCACUGGCCGCAUGGUCUGGUGGUGGAAAGAUUUUUUGGUUGGGGAUGGACUCGCGGCCUAUCAGCUUGUUGGUGAGGUAAUGGCUCACCAAGGCGACGACGGGUAGCCGGCCUGAGAGGGUGACCGGCCACACUGGGACUGAGACACGGCCCAGACUCCUACGGGAGGCAGCAGUGGGGAAUAUUGCACAAUGGGCGAAAGCCUGAUGCAGCAACGCCGCGUGAGGGAUGACGGCCUUUCCGGGUUGUAAACCUCUUUUAGUAGGGAAGAAAGCGAAAGUGACGGUACCUUGCAGAAAAAGCACCGGCUAACUACGUGCCAGCAGCCGCGGUAAUACGUAGGGUGCAAGCGUUGUCCGGAAUUAUUGGGCGUAAAGAGCUCGUAGGCGGUUUGUCGCGUCUGCUGUGAAAUCCCGAGGCUCAACCUCGGGCUUGCAGUGGGUACGGGCAGACUAGAGUGCGGUAGGGGAGAUUGGAAUUCCUGGUGUAGCGGUGGAAUGCGCAGAUAUCAGGAGGAACACCGAUGGCGAAGGCAGAUCUCUGGGCCGUAACUGACGCUGAGGAGCGAAAGCAUGGGGAGCGAACAGGAUUAGAUACCCUGGUAGUCCAUGCCGUAAACGUUGGGCGCUAGAUGUAGGGACCUUUCCACGGUUUCUGUGUCGUAGCUAACGCAUUAAGCGCCCCGCCUGGGGAGUACGGCCGCAAGGCUAAAACUCAAAGGAAUUGACGGGGGCCCGCACAAGCGGCGGAGCAUGCGGAUUAAUUCGAUGCAACGCGAAGAACCUUACCAAGGCUUGACAUACACCGGAAACGGGCCAGAGAUGGUCGCCCCCUUGUGGUCGGUGUACAGGUGGUGCAUGGUUGUCGUCAGCUCGUGUCGUGAGAUGUUGGGUUAAGUCCCGCAACGAGCGCAACCCUCGUUCUAUGUUGCCAGCGGGUUAUGCCGGGGACUCAUAGGAGACUGCCGGGGUCAACUCGGAGGAAGGUGGGGAUGACGUCAAAUCAUCAUGCCCCUUAUGUCUUGGGCUUCACGCAUGCUACAAUGGCCGGUACAAAGGGCUGCGAUACCGUAAGGUGGAGCGAAUCCCAAAAAGCCGGUCUCAGUUCGGAUUGAGGUCUGCAACUCGACCUCAUGAAGUCGGAGUCGCUAGUAAUCGCAGAUCAGCAACGCUGCGGUGAAUACGUUCCCGGGCCUUGUACACACCGCCCGUCAAGUCAUGAAAGUCGGUAACACCCGAAGCCGGUGGCCUAACCCUUGUGGAAGGAGCCGUCGAA